rnacentral:rRNA from 1 species
CGUGUAGGCGGUUUCUUAAGUCUGAUGUGAAAGCCCUGGGCUCAACCCGGGAAGUGCAUUGGAAACUGGGCAACUUGAGUACGGGAGAGGGUAGUGGAAUUCCGAGUGUAGGGGUGAAAUCCGUAGAUAUUCGGAGGAACACCGGUGGCGAAGGCGGCUACCUGGACCGAUACUGAUGCUGAGACGCGAAAGCGUGGGGAGCAAACA